rnacentral:rRNA from 1 species
GAUGAACGCUGGCGGCGUGCCUAACACAUGCAAGUCGAACGGACAGACGAUGAGCUUUCUCCUCUGAGGUUAGCGCGGGACGGGUGGGUAACACGUAGAUAACCUACCUAUACUUCUGGGGGAACUCCGGAAAGGCUGAUCUAAUACCGGAGAAUAUGUUGUACCGCAUGGUGCAGUAGUGAAAGACGCUUUUGCUGGCUGUUUUAGCUGGUGUCGGAUUAGCUAGUUGGCGGGGUAAAGGCACACCUAGGCGACGAUGCGUAGCUGAUCUGACAGGAUGAUCGGCCACACUGGAACUGAGACACGGUCCAGACUCCUACGGGAGGCAGCAGUAGGGAAUAUUACGCAAUGGGCGAAAGCCUGAUGGAGCAACGCCGCGUGGGUGAUGAAGGUCUUCGGAUCGUAAAGCCCUUUUAUUGGGGAAGAACAACUGCGUGCUUAUCGCGGGCCGUUUUGACGGUACCCAAUGAGAAAGCGCCGGCUAACUACGUG